rnacentral:rRNA from 1 species
UGCGUAGGGGGCAAGCGUUGUCCGGAAUCAUUGGGCGUAAAGCGCGUGUAGGCGGCUCGAUAAGUCUGCUGUGAAAGUUCAGGGCUCAACCCUGAAAUGCCGGUGGAAACUGUCGAGCUAGAGUCCGGAAGAGGCGAGUGGAAUUCCUGGUGUAGCGGUGAAAUGCGCAGAUAUCAGGAGGAACACCAAUGGCGAAGGCAGCUCGCUGGGACGGUACUGACGCUGAGACGCGAAAGCGUGGGGAGCAAACAGG